CUGUACUGUAUUAACUCUUGCAAGUCCUUGGGGGGGUCUCUAGUAGCUACCUCCUCUUGUAAAGCUGACAGUCACUCAAAGUUGGCUGUAAUUGAAGCACUGUUGUUCCAAGUUACCUCUGAGACCAACUUACAAAACUUGUGUAGCAUAUUCACAUAUUCAGUAACUGAGCGAGAUCCUUGUUUUGUUUUCGAUAAAGAGAACUAUCAUUCUCAACCCUUGUACAGAGAAGGAUCAUUUGCAUAAGAAGGAGUGACAGAAGGCCUGAGGAGAGCUCUGUAAAGUGGAUGGACUUGGGCUGCUGCCGCAGUAGACUUUGUUUUUUUGUGACAGUCCCGUGAUCGAAAUCUUCCAUACAUGCUUAACACAGAGAGCAACCUGUUGCUCAAGGUUUGAAGGUUCCAUGUCAUAAUUUCAAGGUUGAAUAUUCCCUAACAUGUAAACCAAGAGCAAACAGUCUAACAGAAAUACAUUACCAGUCCUUAGUCACCAGGCUUAACAUAAGAAGAAAGAACAUACAAUCUGCAAGCAAACAGUCAAACUGGGGUAAAGUGCUUACAUAGAUACACAGAAUUGGCAAACAAAACCAGAAUAGUCUAACACUAUCAUUCUGAACACACUCUCGAAUAUCGAAGUCUUCUAAGACCACAACAGUACACUGCGCAGACUGUCAUAAACUUGGAAAUGCCCAGAAGUAAUUCUAUUUUGCAAAGUGUUUUAAUGGCUAAAGCAGGAGAUUCCACGAUUCAAGCAGGACCAGAUGGACAAAUACAUGACCUAAGGCAUUAUAGUCAAAACAUUGCAUCUCUUGCGGGGACUUGCCUCCCAACAAACCAUUAUUCAGUGCAGUUUUUUUAGUUGCCCACUAUUUCUUUUCUUUAUCUGUACAUUGGUGAUGGUGGCUUACCUUGUAUAUUAGAGCGCCAAAGGGAUAAUCGGAGCUUCCAGAAGUGGAUUGUAACUCUUACUUUUAAUAUAACAAAUUGAGUCCUAGAAGGGCACCAUCACAGAGAAGCUGCUACCACAGUACCUACAAAGGUCAGUAAUCUGUGUCCCCAAAUUAUAUAUAUAUAUAGAGAGAGAAACAGGAGUGUUUUAUUAGUACCUUGAGCAGUGUUACUGUAAUAACACCAAAGCUGAUGGUUUUUAAAGGGAGGUUUCCCACUCAGUCCUUUACCUACUUCCUUAAAUCCCUGUAUCACUGAGCUACAUAUGCAGUGGAGCAAGAGUAGGAAGAAACUGCAAGGGUUCUGCACAGACCAGCCACAACAUUAAAAUAGCACUAGUUAUAUUGUAGCAAUGGCACCAAUCAAGGGGUGGUAUAUAUUAGGCAUCAAGUGAACAAUCCGUUCCUGAAUUUCAUGUGUUCGAAGCAGGAAUAAAUGAGCAAGUGAAAGGAUCUGUGCAACUUAGACAAGGGCCAAACGGCAAGUCUUCUGGGGUGUUCUUGGUAUGCAGUGGUUACUACCUACCAAAAGUGGUGAGAGGAAGGGCAACAGUUGAACUGGCAGCGGGGUCAUGGGCACUCAAGGCUCAUUGUGGUAUACCGUGUCGUAGCUUAAAGUGCACUUAAUGCAAUUUAACAUUUAAUGCUGGGCCCGAAGGAAAAUGAGCAUCCAAACUGGAACAUGGAAGUCUGAGUCAAACUUUCUUCUAGGUCAUGAUGGUCAAGUGCAUGUGCUUUGUUGACCUGGAGAAGAGAUGGCAGCAGGAUGCAUAAUGGGAAGAAAGCAUGCAAGCAGUCUGUGUUAUGCUUUGAGCAAUGAUCAGCUGGGUAACCUUGCGUCCUGGCAUUCAUGUACUUGUAACUUUGACCCCUACUACCUACCUAGAGAUUGUUGCAGACCACAUACAUCCCUUCACGGCAAUGGUGUUCUAUGAUGGAAACAACCUCUUUUGGCAGGAUAGUGCACACUGACACACUGCAAAAAUUGUUCAGGAAUGGUUUGAGAAACUGGACAGUUCAAGGUGUUGCCUUGGCCAAGUAUCUAUCAGAUUGAGUAUCUGUGGGAUGCAGCUGAACAACAAAUCUGAUCCAUGAAUGCCCCACCUUGCAACUUAAAAGAUCUGCUGCUAAUACCUUGGUGCCAGAUGCCACAGAACACGUUCAGAGGUGUAGAGUCCAUACCUCGGCGCAUCAGAGAUGCUUUUGCAGCAUGAGAUGGAUCUACACAAUAUUAGGCAGAUGUUUUUAAUGUCAUGAUCAGUGUAUAUAAAUUAGAAACCGUGCUCUGAAAAAUUAUCUCCUCGAGGCAAAGGCUUUCAAAUGAGGGAGUGCUUCUUUUUGAAUUGCCCAUUUAUUUUAAGAGCCUACAUCAACCUAACACUGUCCUGAAAAAUUUGUGUUGGCAACUGGGGUAACCUCUUCUUUGGCACAAAUGUAAUGGAGCUCUGGUUUCUUGGCCCAAAACACUUUGACCUACAGUGCUGGUUUAUUGAAAUGAAACUUAAAUUGCAAAAUGGAGAUUUAAAUUCAUAAAUCAAAGGUAAAAACUUUUUAAAUGCCACUGUUAUUGUAACUUUUUUGUAUAAAAACUUUAUAAUUAACUUGUAAAGAAUAUGGACACUUUGACCUCUGACUGUACACUGCAGUCCCUAUCUAGCAGCAUUAAUAAGAGUUAAAGAAUGAUUUGGACUGCUGCAUUUUGAAUAUACGAAGGGUUUCUUACUGUCUAGCAGUAUGUAGAAGGCUAACAGGGUCAUGGUUAUGUCAGAACCUGUAUAAAGAUAUUGAGAGGUAACUAAUGUUUUGGGGUUUUCUUUGUUUUUCAUGGGAGAGGGAGAUAAUCUUAUACAAAUAAAACAUGUGCCUGUUCUUGAUCUCUGUUAAGCUAUUUUCAAAGAUUGGGGCUUUCAAUCAGAUUGGCUUCACUUUAACCAACACAAUCUGAACUGUGAAGGUAUAUGUGUUCGAUAUAAA
rnacentral:lncRNA from 1 species